rnacentral:rRNA from 1 species
UAAAAUCUUAGUGGCGACGGGUGAGUAACGCGUGGGUAACCUGCCUUACACUGGGGGACAACACUUAGAAAUAGGUGCUAAUACCGCAUAAGCGCACGAAGCCGCAUGGAUUUGUGUGAAAAACUCCGGUGGUGUAAGAUGGACCCGCGUCUGAUUAGCUUGUUGGCGGGGUAACGGCCCACCAAGGCGACGAUCAGUAGCCGGCCUGAGAGGGUGGACGGCCACAUUGGGACUGAGACACGGCCCAAACUCCUACGGAAGGCAGCAG